rnacentral:rRNA from 1 species
AUUCCAGCUCCAAUAGCGUAUAUUAAAGUUGUUGCAGUUAAAAAGCUCGUAGUUGGAUUUCUGGCGGGAGUCCGGGUCGGCCUUAACGGGUUGCACUGUUGUGACGUCUCGCCGUUUCGAGGGGAAUGGGCUCGCUAUUAGGUUAGUGUGUUCGGGAACCUCGUCGUUUACUGUGAAAAAAUUAGAGUGUUCAAAGCAGGCCUUUGCUGUGAAUACAUUAGCAUGGAAUAAUAAGAUAGGACUGUAGUGCUAUUUUGUUGGUUUGCGUACUAUGGUAAUGAUUAAUAGGGAUAGUUGGGGGUAUUCAUAUUCAAUUGUCAGAGGUGAAAUUCUUGGAUUCAUGCAAGAUGAACUACUGCGAAAGCAUUUGUCAAAGAUGUUUUCAUCG